rnacentral:rRNA from 1 species
AUUGAACGCUGGCGGCAUGCCUUACACAUGCAAGUCGAACGGUAACAGGUCUUCGGACGCUGACGAGUGGCGAACGGGUGAGUAAUACAUCGGAACGUGCCCGAUCGUGGGGGAUAACGAGGCGAAAGCUUUGCUAAUACCGCAUACGAUCUACGGAUGAAAGCGGGGGAUCUUCGGACCUCGCGCGGACGGAGCGGCCGAUGGCAGAUUAGGUAGUUGGUGGGAUAAAAGCUUACCAAGCCGACGAUCUGUAGCUGGUCUGAGAGGAUGAUCAGCCACACUGGGACUGAGACACGGCCCAGACUCCUACGGGAGGCAGCAGUGGGGAAUUUUGGACAAUGGGCGAAAGCCUGAUCCAGCCAUGCCGCGUGCAGGAUGAAGGCCUUCGGGUUGUAAACUGCUUUCGUACGGAACGAAAAGCCUCUUUCUAAUAAAGAGGGGUCAUGACGGUACCGUAAGAAUAAGCACCGGCUAACUACGUG